rnacentral:sRNA from 1 species
CUGAACACUUUAACCAACUUGAAUUGUUGGAAACACAUGGACACCUUAUUCCUACUGGUACUCAAAGUCUUUGGGUAGGCAAUUCUGAUGAAGAUGAGGAGCAAGAUGACAAAAAUGAAGAGUGGUAUCGAUUGCAAGAAAAAAAAAUGGAAAAAGACCCAAGCAGAUUGCUUCUUUGGGCUGCUGAAAAAAAUCGGGUAAAAAAAAAAAAUUACAGAGGGAAGUGUGACAGUAGGAAAAGCACUGGGUUCAAGCCAGAAGACCUGCCUUUACUGUUAUGGCCAUCAUACCUAUCUCUUGAUUGUGAGGACCAAAUGAGACAAUGUACAUGAAAGCACAUAUUAAGCUGCAGAGUGUCAUGCUAGGUAUUAUUUGGGGGUUUAAGGAUAAUUAUCUAUAAAGAUAGCAAGCAAUCAUCUAUAUUUUAAAAUCAUUUAUAUAAAGUCAUUAGGAUCAUUUAGGAAAGAGAGGAUGGAAACUAACAUUUAUUAAAUACUAACUAUACCAGCUUACCACAGUGCGGAGACUGCUUUCUGAAAAGGCCACUCAUGUGAACACUAAGGAUGAAGAUGAGUAUACCCCUCUUCAUCGAGCAGCCUACAGUGGACACUUAGAUAUUGUCCAGGAGCUCAUUGCACAGGGGGCAGAUGUUCAUGCAGUGACUGUGGAUGGCUGGACGCCCCUGCACAGUGCUUGUAAGUGGAAUAAUACCAGAGUGGCUUCUUUCUUACUGCAGCAUGAUGCAGAUAUCAAUGCCCAAACAAAAGGCCUCUUGACCCCC